rnacentral:tRNA from 1 species
GCUCUUGUAGUUAAAUGGAUAUAACGGGUCAGUCCUAAUGAUCUGUUCCAGGUUCGAUUCCUGGCGAGAGCA